GAGAGCACAGUACGAUGAAAGUUGUGAGUUGUGUUCGGGGGGGAGUUAUUAUCUAUCGUUGGCCUCUAUGGUAGAAUCAGUGGGGGAAUCCUGAGAGAUGGUGGUUUACCCUGU
rfam:Picea glauca, whole genome shotgun sequence.